UAGGGAAUCUUCCGCAAUGGGCGAAAGCCUGACGGAGCAACGCCGCGUGAGUGGUGAAGGUCUUCGGAUCGUAAAACUCUGUUAUUAGGGAAGAAUAAAUGUGUAAGUAACUAUGCACGUCUUGACGGUACCUAAUCAGAAAGCCACGGCUAAAUACGUGCCAGCAGCCGCGGUAAUACGUAUGGGGCAAGCGUUAUCCGGAUUUACUGGGUGUAAAGGGAGCGUAGGCGGCAGUACAAGUCGGGAGUGAAAACUCGGGGCUCAACCCCGAGACUGCUCUCGAAACUGUACAGCUAGAGUGCAGGAAGGGCAGGCGGAAUUCCUGGUGUAGCGGUGAAAUGCGUAGAUAUCAGGAGGAACACCGGUGGCGAAGGCGGCCUGCUGGACUGUAACUGACGCUGAGGCUCGAAAGCGUGGGGAGCGAACAGG
rnacentral:rRNA from 1 species